ACAGCAGUAGCCACGGUAAUACAGAGGGUGCAAGCGUUAAUCGGAAUUACUGGGCGUAAAGCGCGCGUAGGUGGUUUGUUAAGUUGGAUGUGAAAUCCCCGGGCUCAACCUGGGAACUGCAUCCAAAACUGGCAGGCUAGAGUAGGGCAGAGGGUGGUGGAAUUUCCUGUGUAGCGGUGAAAUGCGUAGAUAUAGGAAGGAACACCAGUGGCGAAGGCGACCACCUGGGCUCAUACUGACACUGAGGUGCGAAAGCGUGGGGAGCAAACAGGAUUAGAUACCCCCGUAGUCCCUGUCUCUUAUAC
rnacentral:rRNA from 1 species